CUCCGCGUCCGUGGUUGAAAGUCGAUGCCAGUCGCAGGCGAAACGACCCACGUAAGCAGGAAAAAUUCCGGUGAGCAUGGUGCGGCCUAGAGGUAAGUCCGGCCAACUUCGGUUGAGAGGGCCAGUAGUGGGGAGGCAGAGGCCUUAGGAGCGAACGUCCCAGCCGGCGAGUGUGGGGGCAAAGACCAGGUCGGGCGGA
rnacentral:ncRNA from 1 species